rnacentral:rRNA from 1 species
AUUGAACGCUAGCGGGAUGCCUUACACAUGCAAGUCGAACGGAGUGCCGAACGGGUGAGUAAUGUAUCGGAACGUGCCCAUUACCGGGGGAUAACUACGCCAACGCGUAGCUCAUACCGCUUACUCUUGGAGCUGCCGAUAUCGGUUUAGCCUUUGGGUGGGGUAACGGGUCACCAAGGCCACGAUCCGUAGCCGGUUUGAGAGGACGACCAGCCACACUGGGACUGAGACACGGCCCAGACUCCUACGGGAGGCAGCAGUGGGGAAUUUUGGACAAUGGGGGAAACCCUGAUCCAGCCAUCCCGCGAGUACGAUGAAGGCCUUCGGGUUGUAAAGCACUUUUGGCAGGAAAGCGGUACCUGCAGAAUAAGCACCGGCUAACUACGUGCCAGCAGCCGCGGUAAUAC